UUUUGUGGCUUAGUUGGUAAAAGCGCCGGUCUAGCGAAUACGGAGUCGUCGGUUCGAAUCCCACCAGAA
rnacentral:tRNA from 1 species